AGCCGGAAAAGUUAAGUGUAGGAACCGGGUCAGCGCGCAAGGCUCAGUAGGGCAGGCGGGGGGCCCCUUUCCUCGUCCGGGGAUUCGUCUCAGCAGGUCCCUGCAGUCUGUAGAGCAGCUGCACAGCUGCAGCGCCUGGAUGAGAUCGUGGAGCGGAGUGUAAGGCCGGAAAUGGAAUCCCUGUGGACCGGGUGGCCCAGGCUGGGGAGACGGGUACACUCCCCUGGCAAACCCGCUUCAGAUUUGUCGGUGUGACCUGCAAUGAGAAGAGGGGCAGAAUCAUGAAGUCAGGAAGAGCUGCUGAAGGGAGAGGGUCCCACCUCUGGAGCUUCGCCGUCGGCCCACCCCGCUCCCGCCCUCGCAAAUAGGGUCCAACGCGGAGGAGCCUCGGGAGGUGUCUCCGCUCCCCAAACUCUCCAAACCCAGAAGCCCCGGGAGGCCGGAGCUAGCCGAGAGGCUGCUGUCUUCCCCACCUCCGCCGUCGCCCAGCGGUGGCAGGCGCGCGUCUAGAAAGAGAUUGGUCGCCGCGAGAUGGGGACGCCACAGGCCUCACCCCCAGGAGGUGCGCUGGCCGGCCCGCCCCGCAGCGGGGCGCUGGUUCUGGUUCCCUCUCCAGGAUUUGGGGGGGAAACGUGGGUAGAGAGCGAGGGUCGAGAUGCCUAUCCCAAAGCUUGGAAACAGCGAGAACGUGUUAUUUCCGUGGUCUCCCAU
rnacentral:lncRNA from 1 species